CCUACGGGGGGCAGCAGUGGGGAAUCUUGGACAAUGGGGGAAACCCUGAUCCAGCCAUGCCGCGUGAGUGAUGAAGGCCCUAGGGUUGUAAAACUCUUUCGGCGGGGACGAUAAUGACGGUACCCGCAGAAGAAGCUCCGGCUAACUUCGUGCCAGCAGCCGCGGUAAUACGAAGGGGGCUAGCGUUGUUCGGAAUUACUGGGCGUAAAGCGCGCGCAGGCGGUUCUUCAAGUCAGAGGUGAAAGCCCAGAGCUCAACUCUGGAAUGGCCUUUGAGACUAGAGAACUAGGGUAUGGGAGAGGUGAGUGGAAUUCCGAGUGUAGAGGUGAAAUUCGUAGAUAUUCGGAAGAACACCAGUGGCGAAGGCGGCUCACUGGCCCAUUACCGACGCUCAGGCGCGACAGCGUGGGGAGCAAACAGGAUUAGAUACCCUUGUAGUC
rnacentral:rRNA from 1 species